rnacentral:rRNA from 1 species
UACAGAGGUCUCAAGCGUUGUUCGGAUUCAUUGGGCGUAAAGGGCGCGUAGGCGGCUUGGUCAGUCCCGUGUGAAAUCCCUCGGCUCAACUGAGGAACUGCACGGGAAACUGCCUGGCUUGAGUUCGGGAGAGGGAAGCGGAAUUCCGGGUGUAGCGGUGAAAUGCGUAGAUAUCCGGAGGAACACCUAUAGCGAAGGCAGCUUGCUGGGACGUUACUGACGCUAAGGCGCGAAAGCGUGGGGAGCGAACAGG